CCUACGGGGGGCGGCAGUGGGGAAUAUUGGGCAAUGGGCGAAAGCCUGACCCAGCGACGCCGCGUGAAGGAUGAAGGUCUUCGGAUUGUAAACUUCUUUGAUCAGGGAAGAAAGAAAUGACGGUACCUGAAAAACAAGCCACGGCUAACUACGUGCCAGCAGCCCCGGUC
rnacentral:rRNA from 1 species